rnacentral:rRNA from 1 species
UACGGGGGAUGCAAGUGUUAUCCGGAAUCACUGGGCGUAAAGCGUCUGUAGGUGGUUUAGCAAGUCUGCUGUUAAAUAUUGGGGCUCAACCCUGAACAAGCAGUGGAAACUAUUAGACUAGAGUAUGGUAUGGGUAUAGGGAAUUCCCAGUGUAGCGGUGAAAUGCGUAGAUAUUGGGAAGAACACCAGCAGCGAAAGCGCUUUACUGGGCCAUUACUGACACUCAGAGACGAAAGCUAGGGUAGCGAAUGGG